CAGCCGUAAACGAUGCGCGUUAGGUGUCCUGGUGACCACGAGUCACCUGGGUGCCGAAGGGAAACCGUGAAACGUGCCGCCUGGGAAGUACGGUCGCAAGGCUAGAAACUUAAAGGAAUUGGCGGGGGAGCACCACAACGGGUGGAGCCUGCGGUUUAAUUGGACUCAACGCCGGAAAUCUCACCGGAUAGGACAGACAUAUGAUAGUCGGGCUGAAGACUCUACUUGAUGAUCUGAGAGGUGUGCAUGGCGUCAGUGACU
rnacentral:rRNA from 1 species